rnacentral:rRNA from 1 species
UCAAAAACAUCGCUUGAAAAAUUUUCAAGUAGAGCCUGUUCACUGAAGAUUGAAGAACCGCAGUAUCCUGACUGUGCUAAGGUAGCAUAAUCAUUCGUUAUUUAAUUGAUGAAUUGUAUGAAAGGCCUGACGAGGGUUAACCUUUUUUUCUAUUAAAUGAUAAUUUUAUUUAAAAGUAAAAAAGCUUUUUUCCGUCAAAGGGACGAUAAGACCCUAGAACCUUAUAAUAAAAAUUUUAUUGGGGAGAUAAAGAUCUAGACAAACUUUAAAAAAACCUUCUGAAGGAAUAGCUUAAGUUUUGAAAAAAAAAGGUACUCUAGGGAUAACAGCAAAAUCUCUCUAAAGAGAUCUUAUCGACAGAGAAGCUUUUGACCUCGAUGUUGAAUUGAAAUUUCCCCUUAAAGCAGUUCUUAAGAGAGAAGGUCUGUUCGACCUAUAAUAUUUCACGUGAUCUGAG